AAGGUCCAAAGACACUAUGUGCUAAAAUGAGAAAUUCAAAUUCUCUGCUCAGAACUAGUUUACAUGUCUUUGAUGUGGAUUUUGAUUCCAAACACUCAUCACAUUUGUCACAUGACAAGUUCAGAUUAGACAAUUAACCAAAUUCUCUCAUUUUUUAAUUAAAAAAACACUCACCUGACAAAAUCUCCCAUGCUAUCUGUCAACAACACAAGUAGAGAAGACUCACCUUUUUAUGCAUAACAAUACAAAGAAUUAUAAGCUUGUAGAUUCACUAGAACAAUAUCCUUUUUUUUUUCCAAUAAUUAUGUCAUUAUUUGACAAUAAGGUGGUUUGAUCUCUAAGAUUCAAUAACGACUAUUGUGAAGGUGCACUUCAAACAUGAUAUUUUGAACAGAAAAAAGAAAAAAUUGAUGAGAAACAUGAGAAAAAAAUAGAGAGCGAUAAUUAGAACAAUUGGGUUUUUAUUUUUCUCUUGUCUUAAUAGGUAUCCUUAAAGAUUUUGUAUGUCUCUUUAUCUCUCUUAUAUAGAGAAAUCUUCUAUAGACAUUUUCUUAAUUCAAUUUAAAUUAAUUAUUUAGUUGUCUCAUAAUCUAAUUUAACUCAGAAUAAUCUAAAUCACAUUUAGAUUUGACUUAUUCAAUUUUCAUUUGUUAUUAAAUCAAACAUAUGACUAAUUUUAGAUUAAACACAAAGAAAAAUGCUCACUUCCUUUUAAUAUAGGACAUUAGUACUUUGAAAUACCAAUAAAAUUCCAACAUAUGCUGUAUAAAGAAAUACUUUCGCUUAGAUAUUCCAAGUUUACAUGUAUAAGUAAAAGAACAAAUUUCUUCAAUAAUCAUUGCACGAUCAAAUCAAAGUACAAAAUUGCGAAGUCAUUCAAUUAAAAAAGUUACAAAUGAAAAAGGAGAAUCAAGUUAGCUAUUCACCAAGAUCAAUGGAGUAACUGUACCUAAAUGAAGAAAUUUUAUACUUAUAAUCUUGUCAAAGAGGAGAAACUACAAUUGAUAUUUAGCAUAGUCUUUUUGUUACCUUUUCAAAAAGAAGAGAGCACUUAAUUAUGAAGUAUUCGUAGAGAGGCAUUUCCGCUCAUAGAAAAAAUGAGUCACUACUUCAGUUAACAAAUUAGUCUUUUCUUUUGAGUCCUUUACUUUGGGGUAUAUAAUCUCACAUUUUGAGUAACGAUUAAUGGGCAAGUUAUCUAUAAUUAUUAUAUCAGUCAAUUAAUAACAUUACUUAAUGAUAGAGGGUGAAAUUAUCAUUCAUGAAAAAUUAAUAAAUAUCAAUGUACAAUAUGACGUGACAACUACAAAUAAACCGACAAUUUAUAAUCAUAAUUAAUAUUAUAACAGUAUUAUCUUUAGAUAUGUUGCUAAAAAAUAGUUGGAAGAUAAUAAAAGGAAAAACACUUUAAUUAUCCGAUAAUUUAUUUUAUGACCUCAAAAUGAUGAACUUAAAAUAUAAUAUAAGAGUUGGGAUCCUAGAAGCUUAAUUUAGUCCAAUAAUGGGAGUUAGGUAGUAAAAGAAGAAGAAGAAGAUGUACCAAUUCCAUUAAUACAAAUUGAUAUAGCAAUAUUUUAGAAGAGAAAUUAGAAAAAGUGGAUGGUUUUGGUUUAGACUUUGGAUUAAGGAUAGAUCAAUUAACCAAUUAUCAUGUGUUUAAGUGCCUUUUUGUUGAAAUUACACACACAAAAAAAAAACGAGGCAGUGAACUCCGAGACGACUUCUUUCGUUAUAUAUAAUAACAAAUUUAGUAGUUUAGAAGAAGAAAAGUUGUGGCUAAAGUCUCUACACAUUUUGAGAAGUGUAAAUGUUACCAUCAUUUAUAUUAUUUCUUUAUGCACUACGAGGCCAAGUAGCGAUGAUGGAACCGAAAGUUUUGAUAAUUUAAAAUUCAGGACGUAAUAUAUGUAGUUGAGAUUAACGUGAAACAAAAAUUACUUUCUAAGCAGUAAAUUAGACAAAAACAAGUGCGGAAUUAAUCGACAAACCUUGGGUACAAAAAUUUUUGGGCCCAUCUAUUAAAUUUUGUCCACAACAAAUCCAAAACAUUUUAACUGUGAGUAGAGCUCUUCAUGCCCUUUAUAGGCUCAUAUGCGAAAACAAAAAUAUGGGUCAAGCCCAAAUCACUUUGGGGAAACCCUUGGAAAAUUACCUCAAUCAGCCAUGAAAUGAAGCUUUUAUAGUGUGACUUCACAAGAAGAGACAGUUGGUAUCCUAAGGUAGGUAAAUUGGUAUUUUAACUGCGUUAUAAGAGCAUCACCGAAAAACUCUUCAAAUAAGAUUUUAUUACUUAUUUGAAGAAUUAUAUCAACAUUUAAGGCUCCAAAAGACACUCCAAUUAAGUUUUUUCAAAUAAGAAAUGAUUAUCUCUCUUCAAAUUUGAAGAGUUACUUUCUCCCUCUUCAAUUUAUAUUUUAUUACUUUUUGUUGAAGAAAAAGAGAAAUGUGCUUUAAUUACUAUUGACUUUUCCUUUUAAAAAAAAGUUAUUUAAUUAAAAUAAUAUUAACUCAUUUCUAUUUAAAGAGUUUUUUGGAGAACAAUAUCUUUUUUCACUCAUCUAUUUGCCACAUAGGUAAGCAAAUGAAUAUUUGAAGAGUAAAUUUUAUAGAGCCUUUUGGAGAUGCUCUAAUACAACUACUUAGGUAAUUAAGGGUUUGAACAUAUUUCUAACCAUAAAUAUCAGUAUAUUGCAAUACAAUAAUUCCAAAAAAAGAAUAAAAUAAAAUAAAAACCAACAAUGACUAUCAAAUUGAACAUAUAUAAAGAGAACGAUAUACUAUCAAGGAUUGUCUAUGAUAUUAUCAAACCCCUUUAUUAGGGCGUUUUGGAAUUAGAGCGGGUGUUAAUAGUAAUCAUGAAUUUUUAAUAUUGCUCACUAAUAAAGGGGUUUGAUAAUAGGAUGUAUACUAGCGUGAGAGUUUGAUUCAUUUAAAGUGGGCCCAAAUAUGAGUACAGCUCUUAACACCACCCCCAAAAUCUUUCUAACACCACCUUUGAGUAUUAUUUUCUAAAAUACCCUAAGUUUAACUGAUAAAAUACAAAUUCAUAUAUUAAAAUCAAACAUAUUCUCAUAAUAUUUUACCCACAAAAAAUAUUUUUUAAAAAUUAUAUAUGAAUCCUAAAAUUUUAAAUUUAUCUUAAUUUUUUUCUUUAUUAUAUAAUAUAUAUUCUCAUAACUCUAAACUCUUAUAAUUAUCUCAAAAUCCAAACCAAAAAAGAAGUAUUUUCAAUUAAAAAUUAAAAUACAAUAUAAAUUAUGAAAUGGAGUGGGCGUAAAAAAUUUGUUGAAAGAAGAAUUUAUCUAAAUGUUUAAUUGAAUUUGUUUUAGGUUAUAAAAGUCCCCACUCCCCAAAUAUUCAUUUCUAAUAUUGGGCUUUUAAUUUUGUAGACAGGAGGAAUGAGGAUGAAAGGGAAACCUUGAAAGGAUGGAUCUCCAAACGGACAUGUCCCCAACACUCGGUCUCCCCUCCUCCAAAUAUUACGAAGUAAGAUUAAUACCCUAAUCACCUCGAUUAAGGACCAAAGCAACAUUGACCCCACUUCUUUAAUCACCAUCAACCUUAAUUUGAACAAAUGGACGGCAGAUCUUGACUUCAAUUUCAAUAAUUCAAUAAUGACUAAAUUAGGUGGGGUUCCUCAUUUCAUACAAUAAUUCCAUUUAAAACAAAGGCGUCAUACAUUGAUUAUUGGUUUUGGAAUGGACUCCUCAAUUAUUAAAAAACAUGCUUGAAAUUUUUUAAUUAUUCACCAUUAUUUAGCAUAUAUUAUAUAGCUGGUAACCCCUCUUCUACAAUUACAGACCGUCCACUUGGCAGAGAAUUACCGGCAAUUAUACCCUAAAUUAUGAUUAAAACUGAUGUCGCCUGCAAAUAACGACGAAACACUUGAACUUUGUUUUGGUACGAUUUUUUAAAAAUAAUAAUUGUAUUGUGUGAUUAGCAAUAUACAUAUGUGUGAUCUUAUAAAUAUUACGGAAGUUAUAUUAAUACGAAUAACAGAAGUAAAGAUACAACGAUGUGUAAUCUCAAACCUCUCUCGUUUAUAAUAGCUUGGACCACUAAAACUAAAACACAAUUGUUUAACUUUUUAUUACUUAUUCUCCUCUAUUUACUGCAAAUAUAUAAUUAGAAUGAUCAUUUAACUACUUGGCCUACCUAAUAAUGAAAAUCUUGGUGAUUAAUGAUUAUUGUUUUGAAACUCAAUAUGCACUACUUUUUUAUACAUCAUGCGUACCAAUCGAACUCGUAACGUAAACCCAAAUGACCGAAUUAAUACAUCAUGCGUACAAAUCUCAUGUAACCCUUGAGAAAUCAUCAAAAUCGAACAAAUUAAUACAUUAAUAGGGUUAUUAAAUUGAAAGACGACAGAACAACAGAAAAACAGAAAAACAUUCAUGGGUUAUUAAAAGAAGUAGCAACAAGAAGAUGCCAAAACCCCAUGUGAGGUCAGGAUAAGCACAUGAAUGAUGAAUGAAGCACAGCAAUCUUAUGUGUCUGAUUCUCACCUGACGGUCGUGAUGUUCGAACAAGCUCACGUAUCUCUCUUAUUGAUGAUGAGUUGUUCAUCCUGCCCACUUGCAUUUUAGAGAUCAUGAAUCAACACUCCAAUUACAGCAAGAGCAUGUGCAAGCCCUCCAUGCAAUUUCAAUUUGAUAUUUACACACACACACACGCACAGAGUUAGAUUUGGGAUAGCUGCGCCUGAUCACGAAUGUAAUUCUUUAGGAUAGGAGAUUACAGGACCACAAGUCCAAAAUAUGUCAAUUAGUUUGGCCCAUAACCUGUUAACCCACGGAUCCGAAUCCAAACUGAGUAUUCAAAAAGACAAAUGAGCUGGCUGUGUGGCGUGGCACAUGAUAAAAAGGAAGUUUUAGAAAGAAACUAUUAUCUGAUGGAUGGGCACUGUAAAAAAGUGUAAAGUUCCUUCCUCUUAUGUGGUAAGUUGAAAACAACUUGACACAGUGUUAAAGUUGUUCGAUUAGUGCAGGAGCAGGACAACAAUAAUUGAGCAGGAGCUAUCGUCAUCAGACUUAAAGAGCAUGUCCUGUUCUCAUAUGACGCGACUUGGCUUUCUUGGAUUUUGAAACUGACACAUUACCUCCU
rnacentral:lncRNA from 1 species